GACGAACGCUGGCGGCGUGCUUAACACAUGCAAGUCGAACGGAAAGGCCCUGCUUUUGUGGGGUGCUCGAGUGGCGAACGGGUGAGUAACACGUGAGUAACCUGCCCUUGACUUUGGGAUAACUUCAGGAAACUGGGGCUAAUACCGGAUAGGAGCUCCUGCUGCAUGGUGGGGGUUGGAAAGUUUCGGCGGUUGGGGAUGGACUCGCGGCUUAUCAGCUUGUUGGUGGGGUAGUGGCUUACCAAGGCUUUGACGGGUAGCCGGCCUGAGAGGGCGACCGGCCACAUUGGGACUGAGAUACGGCCCAGACUCCUACGGGAGGCAGCAGUGGGGAAUAUUGCACAAUGGGCGGAAGCCUGAUGCAGCAACGCCGCGUGCGGGAUGACGGCCUUCGGGUUGUAAACCGCUUUCGCCUGUGACGAAGCGUGAGUGACGGUAAUGGGUAAAGAAGCACCGGCUAACUACGUGCCAGCAGCCGCGGUGAUACGUAGGGUGCGAGCGUUGUCCGGAUUUAUUGGGCGUAAAGGGCUCGUAGGUGGUUGAUCGCGUCGGAAGUGUAAUCUUGGGGCUUAACCCUGAGCGUGCUUUCGAUACGGGUUGACUUGAGGAAGGUAGGGGAGAAUGGAAUUCCUGGUGGAGCGGUGGAAUGCGCAGAUAUCAGGAGGAACACCAGUGGCGAAGGCGGUUCUCUGGGCCUUUCCUGACGCUGAGGAGCGAAAGCGUGGGGAGCGAACAGGCUUAGAUACCCUGGUAGUCCACGCUGUAAACGGUGGGUACUAGGUGUGGGGUCCAUUCCACGGGUUCCGUGCCGUAGCUAACGCUUUAAGUACCCCGCCUGGGGAGUACGGCCGCAAGGCUAAAACUCAAAGGAAUUGACGGGGCCCCGCACAAGCGGCGGAGCAUGCGGAUUAAUUCGAUGCAACGCGUAGAACCUUACCUGGGUUUGACAUGGAUCGGGAGUGCUCAGAGAUGGGUGUGCCUCUUUUGGGGUCGGUUCACAGGUGGUGCAUGGCUGUCGUCAGCUCGUGUCGUGAGAUGUUGGGUUAAGUCCCGCAACGAGCGCAACCCUUGUUCACUGUUGCCAGCACGUUAUGGUGGGGACUCAGUGGAGACCGCCGGGGUCAACUCGGAGGAAGGUGGGGAUGACGUCAAGUCAUCAUGCCCCUUAUGUCCAGGGCUUCACGCAUGCUACAAUGGCUGGUACAGAGAGUGGCGAGCCUGUGAGGGUGAGCGAAUCUCGGAAAGCCGGUCUCAGUUCGGAUUGGGGUCUGCAACUCGACCUCAUGAAGUCGGAGUCGCUAGUAAUCGCAGAUCAGCAACGCUGCGGUGAAUACGUUCCCGGGGCU
rnacentral:rRNA from 1 species